UCCCUGGUGGUCCAGUGGCUAAGACUCUGUGCUCCUAAUGCAGCGGGCCCGGGUUCGAUCCCUGGUCAGGGAA
rnacentral:tRNA from 1 species